rnacentral:rRNA from 1 species
UACGUAGGGGGCAAGCGUUGUUCGGAUUUACUGGGCGUAAAGGGCGCGUAGGCGGCGCGUAAAGUCGGACAUGAAAUCAUUAGGCCCAACCUAAUGGCUGUGUCCGAUACUUACGUGCUUGGAGUGCGGGCGAGGCAGCCGGAAUUCUCGGUGUAGCGGUGAAAUGCGUAGAAAUCGAGAGGAACACCGGUGACGAAGGUGGGUUGCUGGACCGACACUGACGCUGAGGCGCGAAAGCUAGGGGAGCAAACGGU